rnacentral:rRNA from 1 species
AGCGAACGUUAGCGGCAGGCCUAACACAUGCAAGUCGAGCGAGAAAGGGGCUUCGGCCCUGAGUAAAGCGGCGGACGGGUGCGUAACACGUGGAUAAUCUGCCCUUCAGUGGGGAAUAACACGCCGAAAGGCGUGCUAAUGCCGCAUGUCACAAUUGGGUUUCAGAACUCGAUUGGAAAAGGGGACGCCCGCAAGGGGUUCUCGCUGGAGGAUGAGUCCGCGGCCCAUCAGCUUGUGGCGGGGUAAUGGCCCACCAAGGCGAAGACGGGUAGCUGGUCUGAGAGGAUGACCAGCCACACUGGGACUGAGACACGGCCCAGACUCCUACGGGAGGCAGCAGUGGGGAAUAUUGGACAAUGGGCGAAAGCCUGAUCCAGCCAUGCCGCGUGAGUGAUGAAGGCC